CAGCUAUAGUUUAUUAGAUCUUACUCUACUUGGAUACCUGUGGUAACCUAAGAGCUAAUACAUGCAACUAAGUCCUGACCGGAAGGGAAGGAUGCCUUUAUUAGAACAAAACCAAUCGGGCUCUGCCCGCGUGUUGGUGAAUCUGAAUAACUAUGCUGAUCGCACAGUCCACGUACUGGCGACGUAUCUUUCAAAUGUCUGCCUUAUCAACUUUCGAUGGUAGUUUACACGGCUACCAUGGUUUUCACGGGUAACGGAGAAUUAGGGUUCGACUCCGGAGAGGGAGCCUGAGAAACGGCUACCACAUCCAAGGAAGGCAGCAGGCACGCAAAUUACCCACUCCCGGCACGGGGAGGUAGUGACGAAAAAUAACGAGACGGUUCUCUAAGAGGCCCGUCAUCGAAAUGGGUACAAUUUAAAUCCUUUAACGAGGAUCUAUUGGAGGGCAAGUCUGGUGCCAGCAGCCGCGGUAAUUCCAGCUCCAAAAGCGUAUAUUAAAGUUGUUGCGGUUAAAAAGCUCGUAGUUGGAUCUGCGCCUUAGGCUGGUGGUCCCCCAAGCGGGCGGUACUACCGUGCCUGGGCUUAUUGUCUGGUUUUCCCUUGGUGCUCUUCACUGAGUGCUCUGGGUGACUGGAACGUUUACUUUGAAAAAAUUAGAGUGCUUAAAGCAGGCGACUUGCCUGAAUAGUGGUGCAUGGAAUAAUAGAAUAGGACUUCGGUUCUAUUUUGUUGGUUUUCGGAACUCGAAGUAAUGAUUAAGAGGGACAGACGGGGGCAUUCGUAUUGCGACGUUAGAGGUGAAAUUCUUGGAUCGUCGCAAGACGCAC
rnacentral:rRNA from 1 species